UGUAAGCUCACCUUUCAACUCAAUGACACAAGACCAAGUAAAUAUCACAACACCCAGUUUUAGAAAAACAAAAAUACAUUUCUCAAAAAAAACAAAACAAAAAAAAAACAGGUUCAGUUAUCAAAAAUAUUUGCCGUUUAACAAAAAUAUACCUUGUAGGUAAAAUAAAAUACUUCCCAAGUUCCAAAAACUCCUCCAGCCUAAAAACCUUUUAAAUAGCUCAAUUCAACCUUCUGGUUAACUUCUGGUUACACAACAGUACAACAACUCCACAGGGUCCACACUUCGCACACACAGCCAGCAAAAGCAAAAUAACCCCGUUGCAGGCCUUACACUGUGAUGUCGGAGUGCAAGGAAAUCCAGUUUUUAUCCAAACGAUCCACGAACAGCACAGGGAAACGUGUUAUCUCAAGUGUAGAUCAACUGCAAAAAGCGGCGAUUUACCUGGUUCAGCGCGGCGGAGCCAUAGAUGUGUGUCUACAGGCCGAUGGAGUCUCUCUCAGGCCGCGACAACGUCCCGACGAUAGUGAGUCACACACACUGGCAGCGAUCCGAAUGACUCUUCACAGCCACGCGUUGAAGCAAUAAGGCUACACGGACACCAAUCCCACUCAAGAUGAGAACCACCAUUGUUCUUUACAAACUGGCCAGUCUACUGUUUCUGUGAAGGAAUGGUGUUCUCAGUUGGGCACAACCUCAUAAAAGAGCCAACUGUGGAAGAAGCUUGUGCCUUUGCAAGCCGGUUCCAGCAGAAGUUCAGCAUGCCAGAAGUCACGGGGUGCAUCGAUGGAACCCACAACGCGAAUGUACUACGCCAGUCAGCGUUAUUAGGCCAGGCACAUGAACUGUUGAACGGAGCCACAGGACAUAAAUGGCACUUUAGGCAGGCUCUUUCUUCUUGGAGACCCAGCCUACCAUCUCAUGGACUGACUCAUCAAAGGAUACACCCAUUCAUCCAGUCUGAUCGACAACAAGAGUCAUUUAAUGUCUGUCUGAGCUCUGCAAGGACCACGGUGGAAAAAGCCUUCGGAAAACUAAAGUCAUGCUGGAGAGUCCUACUCAAAAGAACUUCCACUACACAUUCUCAGUCUUCAACACAACCUACCAGCCGGCGGCUAUGGCUCAGUAGGUA